UCAGUCGGCCGGACGGCCGCUCCGGCAGGGGCCGAAAGGCCGCCGGGGAGGAAAGUCCGGGCUCCCUUGACAUACGGUGCCGGAUAACGUCCGGCGGGGGCAACCCCAGGGAAAGUGCCACAGAGAACGAACCGCCCUGCUUCGCCUUCGGGCUUCGCAGGGUAAGGGUGAAAAGGUGCGGUAAGAGCGCACCGCGGCGUCGGCAACGAAGCCGGCAUGGUAAACCCCACCGGGAGCAAAACCGAAUAGGGACGGCGUAGCGGGCUGUUCGCGAAAGCGAUAACGCCGCGGGGCGAUGUCAGGCCCGCCGUCCGGGUAGGUUGCUCGAGGCCAUGUGCAAACAUGGUCCCAGAGGAAUGGCCGUCACGUAUCGUUCGCGCAAGCGGAUGGUGCCCUACAGAACCCGGCUUACAGGCCGGCUGAUAUC
rnacentral:RNase_P_RNA from 1 species